ensembl:lncRNA
GUGGGUUCGAACCCCACUUCUGACAUGUCUUUACCGUUUUAUAGUCCACUUUGGACAAUAAUUUAUUUUGACUCGCUAACUUUUUCAAGGUGGCAGAAAACGUUUGUCUUUGCUUUAUUUGUGUGUCAGGAUGGCCGAGUGGUCUAAGGCGCCAGACUUAAGGUUUGACUCCUUUCUCAGGAAAGAGACUUCUGGUCUCCAAUUGGAGUCGUGGGUUCGAACCCCACUUCUGACAUGUCUUUACCGUUUUAUAAUCCCCUUUGGACACUAAAUUAUUUUGACUCGCUAACUUUUUCAAGGUGGCCGAACACGUUUGUCUUUCCUUUAUUUGUGUGUCAGGAUGGCCGAGUGGUCUAAGGCGCCAGACUUAAGGUUCGGCUCUGUAUGCAGUAAAGAGACUUCUGGUCUCCAAUUGGAGUCGUGGGUUCGAACCCCACUUCUGACAUGUCUUUACCGUUUUAUAAUCCACUUUGGACCCUAAAUUAUUUUGACUCGCUAACUUUUUCAAGGUGGCAGAAAACGUUUGUCUUUCCUUUGUUUGUGUGUCAGGAUGGCCGAGUGGUCUAAGGCGCCAGACUCAAGGUUUGACUCCUU